rfam:Ictidomys tridecemlineatus contig023479, whole genome shotgun sequence.
GGGGUUGUGGCUCAGCGGUAGAGCAGUAGCCUGGAAAUGUUUGAGGCCCUGAGUUCAAUCCUCAGCCCCA